rnacentral:rRNA from 1 species
GAUGAACGCUGGCGGCGUGCCUAAUACAUGCAAGUCGAGCGAACAGAUGAGGAGCUUGCUCCUCUGACGUUAGCGGCGGACGGGUGAGUAACACGUGGAUAACCUACCUAUAAGACUGGGAUAACUUCGGGAAACCGGAGCUAAUACCGGAUAAUAUCUUGAACCGCAUGGUUCAAUAGUGAAAGACGGUUUUGCUGUCACUUAUAGAUGGAUCCGCGCCGCAUUAGCUAGUUGGUAAGGUAACGGCUUACCAAGGCAACGAUGCGUAGCCGACCUGAGAGGGGGAUCGGCCACACUGGAACUGAGACACGGUCCAGACUCCUACGGGAGGCAGCAGUAGGGAAUCUUCCGCAAUGGGCGAAAGCCUGACGGAGCAACGCCGCGUGAGUGAUGAAGGUCUUCGGAUCGUAAAACUCUGUUAUUAGGGAAGAACAAAUGUGUAAGUAACUAUGCACGUCUUGACGGUACCUAAUCAGAAAGCCACGGCUAACUACGUG